CCUAUAAGGCGCUGCUUGUUUAAGUACAGUCUCAUUUAGUUGGAGCUGCAGGGAGUGAGGGAGAGGAGGAUAGGAAAGAGGAGAGCGGGAGAGCUUGAGGGAGAAGGGGGCUCGCUGUGUUUACACCAGACACAGGCUUCGAGCGUCCAUCCCGGACUCUGAUUCGCGCUCUCCAAGUGGAGAGCUAAGCUGUUCUGGGAUCCGUCCGUCGUGUGGCAGGAGCCUCAUCUGUCCUGGUUGCGGGAGCUGGGAGAGCCCAGAGGGAAACCGAGGGAAGCAAGCGGCGCGUUUUACUAGAGAGCGCGAGCAGAAGGGGUCGAGAGCCAAGCGUGUGAGGGAGCAUCAAGCGCGGCGAAGACAUGAGGACCUACUGGCUGCACAGCGUCUGGGUGCUGGGCUUCUUCCUGUCCCUCUUCUCAUUGCAAGAUUGUUUCCAGACACCCAGUUGGAUACCAGUUGGAAAGCAUGGGGACUCUCCCGGGAAGUAUGAUGAUGCAGAAUGUCAGAGAAAAAGUGGCUGUGCAAGAAUAAGCAGAAGAAAAGCUUGAUGAAUUUGAGCUUUGACUUUGUUGAAUAUUGUAUUGGAGACAUAGAAUGUACCUAGACACAUCAAGGCAAUUCGUUUACUCAUUCUGUAAGAGCCGACUUGGUUCCUGGAACUCUUCUAAGUACUAGAGACUCAUCACUGACUGGAACAAAGAUGGCCUAAUUUCAUUUAGAUAUUAGGCACUUGUUAUUUUCAUCAAUUAAGAAAAAAAAUCUAAUGAAAGAAAAGAAGAUUUAUACAUAGUAUAAAAACAAGUGGUUUUAGAGUGUUUAUUUUGUGACAAAUAUAGCAGGUGUUAUAAGUUCCUUUUAUAUUUGUGAAAUGAUCAUUGGUCAUUCUCUGGACUCCUUUCUGUGUUAUACUCUCUUUCUGUGGAGGGUAAACAACCAGAUCUCGAGCUCCAUGGAAAUGGAUGACAUUUGCCUUAUUGACAGUUACUAUUUACACAUAAUACAUUGCAGCUUACGUGUAUUCCAUUUUAAUUGUCAUGCUCUGGAUUAUACUUUAAACUGUGUUUGGAUUAGGUUUGUGAUUUUGUUUUAUUUAUUCCUUCAUUUUUAAAUGUAUACUUUUAAGGCUUUGCAUAUAAUAAAUUUUCAUGGUCAUUUCCUUCUCAAUAGACAUAACACUAUCUAUGGUUUUCAAUGUUAUAGUUCCUUUUAAUAAAACUGGGAAUUUUGUUUUGAUGA